rnacentral:rRNA from 1 species
GAAUUCGCCCUUAGAGUUUGAUCCUGGCUCAGGACGAACGCUGGCGGCACGCUUAACACAUGCAAGUCGAACGAGAGAAGAGAAGCUUGCUUUUCUGAUCUAGUGGCGGACGGGUGAGUAACACGUGAGCAAUCUGCCUUUCAGAGGGGGAUACCGAUUGGAAACGAUCGUUAAUACCGCAUAAUAUAAUUGAACCGCAUGAUUUGAUUAUCAAAGAUUUAUCGCUGAAAGAUGAGCUCGCGUCUGAUUAGCUAGUUGGUAAGGUAACGGCUUACCAAGGCGACGAUCAGUAGCCGGACUGAGAGGUUGAUCGGCCACAUUGGGACUGAGACACGGCCCAGACUCCUACGGGAGGCAGCAGUGGGGAAUAUUGCACAAUGGAGGAAACUCUGAUGCAGCGAUGCCGCGUGAGGGAAGAAGGUUUUAGGAUUGUAAACCUCUGUCUUCAGGGACGAAAAAAGACGGUACCUGAGGAGGAAGCUCCGGCUAACUACGUGCCAGCAGCCGCGGUAAUACGUAGGGAGCGAGCGUUGUCCGGAAUUACUGGGUGUAAAGGGAGCGUAGGCGGGAUCGCAAGUCAGAUGUGAAAACUAUGGGCUUAACCCAUAAACUGCAUUUGAAACUGUGGUUCUUGAGUGAAGUAGAGGUAAGCGGAAUUCCUAGUGUAGUGGUGAAAUGCGCAGAUAUUAGGAGGAACAUCAGUGGCGAAGGCGGCUUACUGGGCUUUAACUGACGCUGAGGCUCGAAAGCGUGGGGAGCAAACAGGAUUAGAUACCCUGGUAGUCCACGCCGUAAACGAUGAUUACUAGGUGUGGGGGGACUGACCCCUUCCGUGCCGCAGCAAACGCAAUAAGUAAUCCACCUGGGGAGUACGACCGCAAGGUUGAAACUCAAAGGAAUUGACGGGGGCCCGCACAAGCAGUGGAGUAUGUGGAUUAAUUCGAAGCAACGCGAAGAACCUUACCAGGUCUUGACAUCGUAUGCAUAGCUCAGAGAUGAGUGAAAUCUCUUCGGAGACAUAUAGACAGGUGGUGCAUGGUUGUCGUCAGCUCGUGUCGUGAGAUGUUGGGUUAAGUCCCGCAACGAGCGCAACCCUUACUGUUAGUUGCUACGCAAGAGCACUCUAGCAGGACUGCCGUUGACAAAACGGAGGAAGGUGGGGAUGACGUCAAAUCAUCAUGCCCCUUAUGACCUGGGCCUCACACGUACUACAAUGGCUGUUAACAGAGGGAUGCAAAGCCGCGAGGUGGAGCGAACCCCUAAAAGCAGUCUUAGUUCGGAUUGUAGGCUGCAACCCGCCUACAUGAAGUCGGAAUUGCUAGUAAUCGCAGAUCAGCAUGCUGCGGUGAAUACGUUCCCGGGCCUUGCACUCACCGCCCGUCA